UACAGAGGGUGCAAACGUUGCUCGGAAUUACUGGGCGUGAAGCGCGUGUAGGCGGUUCGUUAAGUCGUCUGUGAAAUCCCAUGGCUCAACCAUGGAAGUGCAUACGAUACUGGCAAACUUGAGUCCUGGAGAGGGUGGCGGAAUUCCCAGUGUAGAGGUGAAAUUCGUAGAUAUUGGGAGGAACACCGGUGGCGAAGGCGGCCACCUGGACAGGUACUGACGCUGAGACGCGAAAGCGCGGGUAGCAAACAGGAUUAGAAACCCUGGUAGU
rnacentral:rRNA from 1 species